AGAGUUUGAUCCUAGCUCAGGAUGAACGCUGGCGGCGUGGAUAAGGCAUGCAAGUCGAACGCCCCGCAAGGGGAGUGGCGAACGAGGUAGUAACACGUAGGAACGUACCCUUUAGUCAAGAAUAACCAGUCGAAAGAUUGGCUAAUACUUGAUAGUCUCUUCGGAGUAAAGAUUUAUCGCUAAAGGAACGGCCUGCGGGAUAUCAGCUAGUUGGUAAGGUAAUGGCUUACCAAGGCUAUGACGUCUAGGGGAGCUGAGAGGCUGACCCCCACCGAUGGUACUGAGACACGGACCAUACACCUACGGGUGGCUGCAGUCGAGAAUCUUCCGCAAUGGACGCAAGUCUGACGGAGCGACGCCGCGUGAUUGAUGAAGUCCCUCUGGGACGUAAAGAUCUUUUAUUAGGGAGAAAGCUUAUUGAUAGUACCUAAUGAAUAAGGGGUUGCUAAACUCGUGCCAGCAGCAGCGGUAAUACGAGUGCCCCAAGCGUUAUCCGGAAUCACUGGGCGUAAAGGGUGUGUAGGUGGUUAUGUUAGUCUUUUGUUAAAUUCUUCGGCUUAACCGGGGACCUGCGAAAGAAACAGCAUGACUAGAGGAUGUGAGGGGUGAACGGAACUCAUGGAGUAGGGGUGAAAUCCGUUGAUAUCAUGGGGAACACCAAAAGCGAAGGCAGUUCACUGGCACAUUCCUGACACUGAAACACGAAAGCGUAGGUAGCGAAUGGGAUUAGAUACCCCAGUAGUCUACGCCCUAAACGAUGAUCGCUAGUUUUUCGGAGUAUCGACCCUCUGAGAGACGAAGCUAACGCGUUAAGCGAUCCGCCUGGGUAGUACGACCGCAAGGUUAAAACUCAAAGGAAUAGACGGGGACUUGCACAAGCAGAGGAUUAUGUGGUUUAAUUCGACGAAAAACGAAGAACCUUACCAGGGUUUGAAACCUAACUGAAUGUACCGGAAACGGCUACAGCCGCAAGGCAGUUAGGCAGGUGAUGCAUGGCCGUCGUCAGUUCGUGAUUUGAGUUGUUCCCUUCAGUGGGGUAACGAACGCAACCCUCGUUGCCUGUUAUAAGUGUCAGGCGAGACUGCCCCUUCUCAGGGGAGGAAGGUGAGGAUGACGCCAGGUCAGCAUGUCCCUCUGAUAUCCUGGGCCACACACAUAAUACAAUUGCCGGUACAACGGGUCGCAAUGGAGUAAUCCGGAGCUAAUCCUAAUAAAGCCGGCCCCAGUUCAGAUUGAGGGCUGAAACUCGACCUCAUGAAGUUGGAUUUGCUAGUAAUCGCGGGUCAGCUAUACCGCGGUGAAUACGUUCUCAAGUCUUGUACUCACCGCCCGUCAACUCAAGGGAGUUGGGAGUACCCGAAGUCCUGGCGCAAGCCGGGCCUAAGGUAAGCUCAAUGACAGGGAGUAAGUCGUAACAAGGCACGG
rnacentral:rRNA from 1 species